rnacentral:rRNA from 1 species
UACGUAGGGUGCAAGCGUUAAUCGGAAUUACUGGGCGUAAAGCGUGCGCAGGCGGUUCGUUAAGUCCGAUGUGAAAGCCCCGAGCUUAACUUGGGAAUGGCAUUGGAAACUGGCGGGCUGGAGUGUGGCAGAGGGGGGUGGAAUUCCACGUGUAGCAGUGAAAUGCGUAGAGAUGUGGAGGAACACCGAUGGCGAAGGCAGGUCACUGGGCCGCAACUGACGCUGAGGAGCGAAAGCAUGGGGAGCGAACAGG